rnacentral:lncRNA from 1 species
CUUUUUGUUCUCCUAUCAGAGCCGGCUCAAACCCUCUCGAUCAGGAUCCAAGGUCGAGCCAGCUUGACAGCUGUGUCAUUCACUGGUACCAAAAAUAUAGCUCUCUAUCUGCUUUCGAGCUGACUAUAUCAGAGCUCGAGCUGACUCAACUGCUAGCUGAUGCCCCUGAUGCUUCUUUCACAUCUUAUCCUUUCUUUAUCAGUUUUCAAGGC